CGGAGGAUCCAAGCGUUAUCCGGAAUCAUUGGGUUUAAAGGGUCCGUAGGCGGUUUGAUAAGUCAGUGGUGAAAGCCCAUCGCUCAACGAUGGAACGGCCAUUGAUACUGUCAGACUUGAAUUACUGGGAAGUAACUAGAAUAUGUAGUGUAGCGGUGAAAUGCUUAGAUAUUACAUGGAAUACCAAUUGCGAAGGCAGGUUACUACCAGUGGAUUGACGCUGAUGGACGAAAGCGUGGGGGAGCGAACAGGAUUAGAUACCCUGGUAGUCCACGCCGUAAACGAUGGAUACUAGCUGUUCGGAGCAAUCUGAGUGGCUAAGCGAAAGUGAUAAGUAUCCCACUGGGGAGUACGUUCGCAAGAAUG
rnacentral:rRNA from 1 species